CGAUAAGCUUCGGGGAGUUGCACGUAAACUUUGAUCCGAAGAUUUCCGAAUGAGGAAACUCACUUAGAGUAAUGUCUAAGUAUCAUUAAGUGAAUACAUAGCUUAAUGAGGGGAACUCAGGGAACUGAAACAUCUAAGUACCUGAAGGAAGAGAAAGAAAUUCGAUUCCGUAAGUAGCGGCGAGCGAACGCGGAUUAGCCCAAACCAAUAAAGUUUUCUUUAUUGGGGUUGUGGACAUAUCAUAACGAAGAGGUAUCGUAAUUGAAGAGGUUUGGAAAGACCCACCACAGAAGGUAAUAGUCCUGUAUGUUAAACGAGAAGACUU
rnacentral:rRNA from 1 species